rnacentral:rRNA from 1 species
UACGGGGACGGGGGGAGGUCGUUGGGCGCGGUGGAGUGCGCCCCCGUGGGUGCAUUAAAGGGGGUCCCGGUCCCGCCGGAUAGACCGGUCGGGUAAUAUAUAGCGAGAGUACCGUGGCACCGAGUACAUGACGACGGGUAACUAUCCGACCACUAGUGACGACAGCUCUCCUUGAUGCGUAGGUAGGGAAGGCGGGGGUCGAUGGAGCGAACGAGGUGCGCAGCAGAAACUUCCUCUCCUUCUACUGCUCGCAUACCUUCUGGUUCCAAGAAGGGCCCGAGUUGUUCUAGAAGCUGUUCCUACCGUUCUUCCGGCGGCGGCGGCUCAAGAACUUUAGGAAGUUGUUCCUCCUCUAACUGUUCCUCUAACCCCUGUUCUUCUGUCUUGAUCUCGGGUUCGAACAUCUCUGAUAACUUCGUAGAGGAGGUCUUUAAUUCCCUAACUAUUUCCUAUUCUUUUGUAGGUUCUAGUUCUUCUUGAGCCAACGGCAGUGGUUCAAGGAACUGCUAAACCGGUUCUAACUAAAGGGGCCACGGUUCGACCACUCGCUGCGCCACCGGUUCAGGCCGUGGUGCGGGGAGAGGGGCCGGUAGCAGAAGUAGAACCUGUUCCAACGCGGAAAGCAGGGGCGCGGGUUCCUCCUCGGGUUCCGGCUCGGGCUCCGGCGGCGGGGCCGUCUCCUCUGGUGGUGGGCGCUCCAGCGGCACCUCCUCUUCCUCCUCCUCCGGCUCGGGAGGCGGCGUGGCCGUCUUCGGCGCGGCCACCUCCGUCGGCGCGGACGACGACUCCAUCACCUCCUCUUCUUUCUCCUCCUCUUUGGGCGGCUUCGGCGGCGUGGACGGCGGCUCCUCGGUCUCUUCUUCACUAGCCAGCGGCGGCCGGCCUCAGGUUCUCGUUGGGUUUGGUGGUGGACCGAACGAUCGACGACCAUUACCUUCUUUAGUAAAAUUCAAUAACACUUAAACAUCAGCGAGAGGCACAGUUCCAUCGACGUGUUUUCAUUCGUGCAUGCAUGCUGUGUGACGUGAACGGUACGUAUGGUGCGUACGUUUGCAUGUGCGUACCUUGUAAACAAUAAGAAAGCUACCUGGCCAGAGGAGUGGCAUACACAUGUAAAAUGCACCCCGAAAGAACGAAAAAACACCACUAAUUUUGGACACAUUAAUACUAAUACAACCACACAAUUAAACAACCAGUACCAUAUUCGUCCUUGAACACGUAAGAAGGAGAAGAACUUGAACACGUUUGGGACCUACUUAGUAUAUCUCGGGCCGACAACUAUACCAACUAAAAUGGCAGUAAGUGUAGUCUCACCUAAUUGUUGUUACCGAAACGUACGUAUGCGGAGGCCAGUCCAAAGUGUUCUACAUGUAUUCGUGCUCCCUUCAGCCAUCCUUUGACUACCGCCACCGCAUGGUUUAGCACCGUGCUUUGGAUCUUUGGCUAGCUACCUCUAUCUAUCGAAAC